UACGAAGGGGGCUAGCGUUGCUCGGAAUCACUGGGCGUAAAGCGCACGUAGGCGGCUUCUUAAGUCAGGGGUGAAAUCCUGGAGCUCAACUCCAGAACUGCCUUUGAUACUGAGAAGCUUGAGUCCGGGAGAGGUGAGUGGAACUGCGAGUGUAGAGGUGAAAUUCGUAGAUAUUCGGAAGAACACCAGUGGCGAAGGCGACACACUGGCCCAUUACUGACGCUGAGGCUCGAAAGCGUGGGGAGCAAACAGG
rnacentral:rRNA from 1 species